CUCAAAGAUUAAGCCAUGCAAGUGGUUAUAUUAACCCGACAGUUUAAAUAAGUGUUAAAUGCUACUAAAAUUUAUACAACGCGCAUUGUUUACAGUAGUAACAAUUUUUAGCGUGAAUCCCAUCUUAAGUGAUUCAUACUGAUUAUAUCAGUAUCACUUACGCAACUGCAGACAGCUGCUUAAUACAGUCACACUUGUCUUGACUUGGCACGAUAAAAAUAUAUUCUUUUUACACGUUUACGCGUAAAAGAUUCAUUUUUUAUUAAUUUUUUGCUAAUUACACACACACAAAAUUACACGCACAAAAUUAAAAAUUUUGAUUUCUCUGUAACGCUAUCUAUAUAAGAUUAAUUACGUUACACCGUGAAAAUUUCUUUUUGGAUAACUCAGGGAAAGUUUGGCUAAUACGUACGAGUUUUUUUUAACCUACACACACACACACACACACAAUUACAUUCAAAAUUUUUUAAUAUUUUGGUAUGUUACCCCUUUACUACUCAGCACAUAUUGGUAAAUUUUGGUUUACUUUGUAAACCAGUUUAAAAUUUAACUGCAACAUGAGAGACAAUAUGUACGCACGUAUAAUUACUUCGGUAUUUAUACAUUACGCUGAGCAGACUUUGCGAAGUUUACUUUGCGAAGCAGGUCAUACAAGCAUCUACAGCAUCAAGUCACAGGGUUGGCAAGUGUAUUUUUGAACCUUCAAAGCAGUCGCGCAUACGGAAGAGUAGUUUCUGAUCCCAUAGAAAGAGCACCGUACAUUGAGAGACCGCUCUUAGUUCUAAGGAACGCAGCAGGCGCGUAAAUUGCCCAAUGCUAGUACCCUACAAUUUAUAUGUAAUUAUACUAAUACACGCAUUACAAUUUACAAUAAACAAAAUUAAUUUAAAUUAAUUUUAGCUAUUCAUUAUAACACUUCAAUUUUACUGUUAAAAUUUUAAAUUAUCCUUGUUCGUUGUUACUCGUAUAUUUAAUAUAUAAUAUUAUUUUACUGAGGCAGUGACAAGCUGUAACGGUUGAGUAUAAAAAUGACGAGUGUCUGGCAUUGCCGUCUAGUUCGCUAGGCUUGGCAGUUCGCCGACGCUUUGUGUGCUCAAUUGGAAUGCGGUGAGUUUAAGCAACUCAGAACCUUUGUAUGGUGUUUGUAAAAUUUCACUAUGCAUGUAUCUGAAUUUCAAGUGGAGGGCAAGUCUGGUGCCAGCAGCCGCGGUAAUACCAGCUCCACUGGCCUAUACAAUCAUUGUUGCGGUUAAGAGGCUCGUAGUUGGAUUGAACUGCAAACAUAUAUAAAUUAAAUUUAUUUUAAUUUUGUUUGACAAGUUUUACGCACAUAGGUCACUAAAAAUUAUUAAUUUUUUUUUGACUGUUCGACGUGCGUUCGACGCUGUUAAAUUUUAUAAAUAAAAUUUUAUUAAUUUUUUUUUUACACACACAAUUAAUUAAAAAUUUAUUAAAAUUUUACUGUUUGCCGUAUAAAAUAUUUUAUUUCAAACACUUAAAUUUAAUUUACAAUUUCAACACUGUGAACAAAUCANAGUGUAUCAAACAUGUCGUUUUUGAAUGUGCAUUGAAUGUCUUAUCAUGGAAUGUUGCACUUUUAAUUUUAAAAUUUACUGUAUUAAAAAUAAUUUUUUUACGCACACACACNCACACGCACGUAAAAAUAUAUUUUGACCCACAGAGUCAUGCAUUGAUAUAUAAAAUUUUUAUUGGUAAAUUUUUUAACAGUUAAAAAUGUCGAUGGGGAUAGUUGGAGUCAGGAGUACUGUUGGGCGAGAGGUGAAAUUCAUUGACCCUAGCAAGACUACCAAAAGCGAAAGCACUUGGCUAGGCUAUACUCUUUGUGAUUAAAUAAAAAAAAAAUUAAUUAUUUUAAUUUUACGCACACACACACAUACACGCACGUAAAAUAUAAUAAAUUAAAUUUUUUAUUUAUACACUUUACAAUGAAGAACGAAGGUUGGGGGAUCAAAGAGGAUCAGAUACCCUCGUCGUCCCAUUAAUUACANCAAACGAUGGGCUCUCAAUUGCAUUUAUUUAUUAAAUUGCUAAUGCCCUCAGCCUACAAAAUAAUUUGGCUUGAGCUCGUAUUUUUUAUACGCUCGCCUAACUUUUUUCGUACGGUCUCGAUGGACGUUUCAUUUAAACUUUUUUUUGCGUGUAAGCAUUUGUUAUUCUUUGAAACAUAAGAAUGCAUUGCGUGCACUUGAUUUUCGGAGCUUUGCGCUCAAUUCUGGUGAGAUGUAAGCACUAUGUCAUACUAUCCGCAGCGUUUAUCUUCGGAUAAUUUGUCUGUCGUGUAUAGUUGACAAUUUUUGGUGUGAAGCACGCUUUAGGCACGCGCUUACUGCAGAAAUGUCUGAGACAUUCCCCUCCGGGGGUAGUCUGCACGCAAGUGUGAAACUUGAAGGAAUUGACGGAAGGGCACCACAAGAACGCGUGGAGCAUGUGGCUUAAUUUGACUCAACGCGGGAAAUCUUACCGGGUCCGGACACACUGAGGAUUGACAGGCACUAUUAAAUUUUUAUUAAUUUUUAUUAAUAAUAUUUAUGUUAAAUAUGCUAGUCCUUUCAUGAUUAUGUGAUAGGUGGUGCAUGGCCGUUCUUAGUUCGUGGAGUGAUCUGUCUGCUUAAUUGCGUUUCACUAAGGGCUUAAAAAUUACGUGUGUUGUAUUGUUUUUUGACCCCUAUCGUUGAAAUAUUACUUUAGUGCGUGUCUUAAAUUGCGAUACUCACACAAUUAAGUCCUGAAAGCAACGAACGUGACCGCAACCUCUUGUUGCCUUUACAAUAUACGCGAUUAAAUAUUUAUUUAUUUUUUCGUAAAAAAAGGCUUUUAAACUAGAGGGACCGCUGUAACUUUUUUAAACCAGAGGAAGGUUGCGGCAAUAACAGGUCUGUGAUGCCCUUAGAUGUUCCGGGCUGCACACGUGCUACAAUGAUUAUUGCAGUGAGCAUCUCAUUUUUUACACACCGCUAGCGCGUGUCCAAUUAUUUGCGUACUUUUGUGCGUAUUUUAAUUGUGUACAUUGUGCGCGGUAAAGCCUGCUUCGAAAGUAAGUGGGUAAUCAAUUAGAAGUAAUGAUUUCCCUUUUAUAGCACACAUAUAUACGGCAUCUUUACCCGGUUUGCGCUUGUCGUAAAUUUUGUGUGUAUCGAUGUUUUUUCCGUAUGUGCAAUUGUCAAUUCAUGGUGGGGACAGACCAUUGUUAAUUGUUGGUCUCGGUCUUAACUAGGAAUGCCUUGUACGGGUCUUUGGUUCAACAAACCACCCGGAAUACGUCCCUGCCCUUUGUACACACCGCCCGUCGCUCUUACCGAUGGACUUCUCUGUGAGUUUGAGGGACUGGGUAUUGUAAAAUUUAUUUUUUACAGCCACCUAUGGAAACUUAAACGAACAGUGUGGUCUAAAGGAAAGAGAAGUCGUAACAAGGCAUCGGUAGGUGAACCU
rnacentral:rRNA from 1 species